CGUGGUAUGCUAAAGCCUAGCAAUGUUGGAGGAUGUUUUUGAACUGAAUUUGACAAACUGUAUCCUGGCUGUCUGCCUGUCAGUGGUGGAGAACUGUUCAACUUGGUUUUUACCGACCGAUUUCUAACAUGAAGGAGCACUCUCAGAUGGACCUUGCCUGAUGGAGCUCUGCUCAUGUUAACAAACAUUAGCCUUUAGCCAACCUCAGGCUUCAUCUUUGCAGACAUUGGGAGCUGUCAUUUCAUGACACCCUGUGACGUGGGUGACACACAGCAGAAAUGACAGGUGCUGGACAGCAGACGCAUGCCUAGGCGAUCUGGCAAUAUUUCUUAAGGAUUGCCCGGUUUGAGGGGUAAAGACCAACACACAGAAAAAUUGGGAAAACACGGGAACCUUUGAUGCCACUAGAUCAGUUUCUUCUGCCAGUACCCAUCUCCAUCACUGCCACAUCAGCUGGUCCCAAGGUUGUGAGGUUAUCCGAACAUCUGGCCCCUCCACCAUGUUUUCUAAGUGAAAAUGUCAUCGACCACCAGCAAUAGCAUUCUUAACCAUACUGGUACAUACUUACAAACCUGCUUGUUUCCCAUACAGGUAUCCUAAUAUGUGGAUGGCCUUCUGCCAGUUGGGCCUAGCUCCAAGUGCUGUAGUGUCAACACUGAAGAGAGAGGGCCAGGGGGUGAUUGUUUUCUGUGUUUUCUUUAAACCUGUUUGAACUGCGACUCUGCUCCCCAUGGAGUGACAUUUCCAGGCGACACAGUAGUGCAGGCCACACUUUAUUCCAACCCCUUCAUCAACACGGCAGGGCUACAGCACUUCCACCGCUGUCUCUGUCUCGUCUAUAGAAGUACUAACAACAGAAGACAGCACAAAGUUCACUUGGAAAAUGCUUUUUGAUGUCCCAACUUGUCAACACAGUCCUGAGCGGCAGAGGAGGAUUUUCCUGAUUGCUACCCCCCUUUCCACAAUGACCCUUUGAUUGUCAUUUGAAGAUGGUGUAUGAGACAUGCUUGUCAUGUUAAUAAAGACAGUAAACCACAUGUAUCCCUGUACCAUAGAACAAAGUCCAGACCUGUCUGGGAAUAUAGAUCUCUAAUUGGUUUUGCGUGGUGGUGCAGCAGAAUUGUGCUUCCCAGAUGUCACCUCAGCCAAACCCUAGUGCACAUCACUGUCAACGGUCCCGAGAAAUCUCCCUAACAAGCUCGCGAUUACAUAAAUCUAUAGUUGUACUCGCGACAAAGAGACUGAACAACUUUCAAGGAGACUUUAUGUUUGAUGUUCCAGGCCUUGAUUGCAUUUCGAAAAAAAGAGAAACCCACUAUAUUGGGAAUGUGUCCAAACAGUCUAGGUUUGCUAAUUUUGUCAUAGUCAAUUUCAUAGCACAGUCGUGAGAACGGGCAGCGAUGGAAUGAAGUUCCUGAGUGCUUUGCAGAGGGGCGUGAGUGGGUUUGACAGGCCCAGUGAAAUAUGCUCUGCUCUACCUUUUUUCAUUACAGGAGCAGGGACCAAAAAUGCAAAUCCAUGGUCCUUUCUUGAGAGGUCAUUAGAAAAGUGACAUAUCAAACAACUGGCUUCAAGUGGAAGACCAAAUCUUGCUUUAUUGCUACAUCAUUGUUUUCAUAUUUUAAUUUCUGAUAUUACAGUGGCUUUUCAAAUUUCCAAUUUCAAUAAAGGACUGUUUUGCUUUGA